CAGACUGGCAGAGACAGGGAGUCUCAGUGAACCCAUCGAGGAGCAGUGUAGCAGAAUAAACGGCUGUAACUCCAACUAAUGUCCUUGAGCUGCUCGGAGAGAGACCUCUGGUCUAUAAACAUGGGAUCCACGGCAGCUCACAAGGAAAGCACGCCGCAGUGCGAAGGAAACCUGUCAACUAAAAUCAAGACGUUGCAUUCCCAGCUCCUGUUCCAGCUGUAUAGCACCACAGAAUGGAAUGCCCUUUAAAGUUCCACUAGAUUCUGUUGAUUGGGAAAGUAAGAAGGGAAAAUUACAUGCUAUGAUUUCAGGCCAUAUGGUGAAUAUGAUUUGCUGUUAAAUUUCCGAUAUUUUGUUUAGCCAAUUUUAAGUUAGUAGUCUUGGUAGAGCAUGGCACUUGCAAUGGCAGGGUGGUGGGCUCCAUUCCCACGGGGAACCAUUAUGAAAAUGUAUGCGCUCUGGAUAAGAGUGUCUGCUAAAUAACGUACAUUUAAAAUGUAGUUCAUGAAUGGUACUCUUAGACCUACGAUUGAUUGAGAGAUAGGUGUGUGAGUACCCUCACCAAGGCUUACAUGUACCCACUGAAAAUGUCUGGGGAGUUCAGCACACAGUGUAAGGAUAUGCAGCUUGGGAGCUUUGUUGACUUUGUCACACUGCAGUAUGACAGAAAUGGCCUACAAUUCACAUGGAGGAGGCUGGUGGGAGGAGCUAUAGGUGGACAGGCUCAUUGUAAUGGCUGGAAUGGAAUCAAUGGAACGGAGUCAUUACAUUCCAGCAAUUACAAUGAGCCAGUCCUCCUAUAGCUCCUCCCACCAGCCUCCUCUGAAUUCACAGUAUUCAUUGAAAAAUCUGUGACCAUAUUUCCCCCAGCAAAUGUUUUAAAAUCUUAAAUGUUCUACAAUCAUAACCAUACAAAGCCUACAUGCCUGUAUGUAAUAACUAUAAUCACUAAUAUCCUUUCCCACAAUUCUUUCAGUUCAGCAUAAAUACCACUCACUGAUAAAGAGGCAUUACCCCUCUCUGAGGGUGUCUCAGGGGGAGUGGGAUAUGCUAGACACAUAUUUCCAUUUCACACCACACACUUGUACAGGUUACAUAUUUGUACAUGUUGUCACACCCUAAUCUGUUUCACCUGUCUUGUGCUUGUCUCCAGGUGUCUCCGAUUUUCCCCCAUUAUCCCCUGUGUACUUGUCUUUUCAAGUCUUACCAGCUUGUUUUCACGUUUUCCAGUAUCUCUAGUUUAUGUUUUCAAGUCUUCCCAGUUCUGAUCAUUCUGCCUGCCCUGAGCCUUCCUGCCGUUCUGCCCUUGAUAAACGCUGCCUUGGAUUACUGACCACUGCCUGCCCUUGACCUGCCAUUUGCCUGCCCCCUGUUUUGUAAUAAACAUCUGAGAUUCUAAAUGUCUGCUGCCUGUGUUUGCAUCUGGGUCUUAUUCUGUGUUGUGUUAGCAUGACUGACCCAGCAGACUCGGACCAGCUCCGCAACACUGUCACCAUCGGAAGACACGAGGAGUUACUUAGAAAUCUUAUGGAAGCAUUCCAGAUCUUAGUAGCGCGUUUGGGUAGUGGCUGGUUACAGUACUGUGAGACUCAGGUGCGUGCCCGCGUCGACCGAAUGCUUUGUUUUCUUUCCUCUGUUUACCUAAAUGCAGAUUCCCGGUCGGAAUAUUAUCGCUUUUUUACGAGAAAAAUGGCAUAAAUAUUGAUUUUAAACAGCGGUUGACAUGCUUCGAAGUACAGUAAUGGAAUAUUUAGAAAUCUUUUGUCACGAAUUGCGCCAUGCUCGUAACCCUUAUUUACACUUCGGAUAGUGUCUAGAACGCACGAACAAAACGCCGCUAUUUGGAUAUAACGAUGGAUUAUUUUGGACCAAACCAACAUUUGUUAUUGAAGUAGCUGUCCUGGGAGUGCAUUCUGACGAAGACAACAAAGGUAAUCAAACUUUUGUAAUAGUAAAUCGGAGUUUGGUCAGGGCUAAACUUGGUCGGUGUCUAAAUGGCUAGCCGUGAUGGCUGGGCUAUCUACUGAGAAUAUUGCAAAAUGUGCUUUCACCGAAAAGCUAUUUUAAAAUCGGACAUAUCGAGUGCAUAGAGGAGUUCUGUAUCUAUAAUUCUUAAAAUAAUUGUUAUGUUUUUUGUGAACGUUUAUCGUGAGUAAUUUAGUAAAUUCACCGGAUGUUUGCGGGGGGUAUGCUAGUCCUGAACGUCACAUGCUAAUGUAAAAAAGCUGGUUUUUGAUAUAAAUAUGAACUUGAUUGAACAAAACAUGCAUACAUUGUAUAACAUAAUGUCCUAGGUGUGUCAUCUGAUGAAGAUCAUCAAAUGUUAGUGCUGCAUUUAGCUGUGGUUUUGUUUUUUGUGACAUUAUAUGCUAGCUUGAAAAAUGGGUGUCUGAUUAUUUCUGGCUGGGUACUCUGCUGACAUAAUAUAAUGUUUUGCUUUCGCUGUAAAGCCUUUUUGAAAUCGGACAGUGUGGUUAGAUUAACCUGUUAUGGCUAGGGGGCAGUAUUUUCACGGCUGGAUAAAAAACGUACCCGAUUUAAUCUGGUUACUACUCCUGCCCAGUAACUAGAAUAUGCAUAUAAUUAUUGGCUUUGGAUAGAAAACACCCUAAAGUUUCUAAAACUGUUUGAAUGAUGUCUGUGAGUUAACAGAACUCAUAUGGCAGGCAAAAACCUUAGAAGAUUUCAUGCAGGAAGUGGCCUGUCUGACAAGGUGUCGUUCUUCUUGUCUCUGUUUAUUGAAGAGUGAGGAUCUUAGCUGUCCCGUGACACUUCCUACGGCUGCCAUAGGGUCUCAGAAGGCGGUAAAAAGCUGAAUCGUGGCUUUGCAGGCUCUGGCUGAAAAAAAGUAGCGCGUUUGGGUAGUGGCUGGUUACAGUACUGUGAGACUCAGGCUCGUGCCCGCGUCGACCGAAAGCUUUGUUUACUUUCCUCUGUUUAGCUAAAUGGACAUUCCCGGUCGGAAUAUUAUCGCUUUUUUACGAGAAAAAUGGCAUAAAAAUGGAUUUUAAACAGCGGUUGACAUGCUUCGAAGUACGGUAAUGGAAUAUUUAGAUUUUUUUUGUCACGAAUUGCGCCAUGCGCACGACCCUUAUUUACCAUUUAGGAUAGUGUCUGGGACGCACGAACAAAACGCCGCUAUUCGGAUAUAACGAUGGAUUAUUUUGGACCAAACCAACAUUUGUUAUUGAAGUAGAAGUCCUGGGAGUGCAUUCUGACGAAGACAACAAAAGGUAAUCUAACUUUUAUAAUAGUAAAUCUGAUAUUGGUGAGUGCUAAACUUGCCGGGUGUCUAAAUAGCUACCCCGUGAUGGCUGGGCAAUGUACUUAGAAUAUUGCAAAAUGUGCUUUCACCAAAAAGCUAUUUUAAAAUCGGACAUAUCGAGUGCAUAGAGGAGUUCUGUAUCUAUAAUUCUUAAAAUAAUUGUUAUGCUUUUUGUGAACGUUUAUCGUGAGAAAUUUAGUAAAUUGUUAGCAAAUUCCUCCGGAAGUUUGCGGGGGGGUAUGCUAGUUCUGAACGUCACAUGCUAAUGUAAAAAGCUGUUUUUUGAUAUUAAUAUGAACUUGAUUGAACAAAACAUGCAUGUAUUGUAUAACAUAAUGUCCUAGGUGUGUCAUCUGAUGAAGAUCAUCAAAGGUUAGUGCUGCAUUUAGCUGUCUUCUGGGUUUUUGUGACAUUAUAUGCUAGCUUGAAAAACGGGUGUCUGAUUAUUUCUGGCUUGGUACUCUGCUGACAUAAUCUAAUGUUUUGCUUUCGCUGUAAAGCCUUUUUGAAAUCGGACAGUGUGGUUAGAUAAAGGAGAGUCUUGUCUUUAAAAUGCUGUGAAAUAGUCAUAUGUUUGAAAAAUUGAAGUUUUUGUAUUUUUGAGGAAUUUGUAAUUCGCGCCACGCCUAUCAUUGGAUAUUGGAGCAGGUGUUCCGCUAGCGGAACGUCUAGAUGUAAGAGGUUAACGAGAGUCUUGUCUUUAAAAUGCUGUAAAAUAGUAAUAUGUUUGAAAAAUUGAAGUUUUCGGAUUUUAGAGGAGUUUGUAUUUCGCGCCACGCCCAUCAUUGGAUAUUGGAGCAGGUGUUCCGCUAGCGGAACGUCUAGAUGUAAGAGGUUUAAAGAAGAGCUCUCAGCCCAGUAGCUGCCCCAUGCAUUUCGAUUCUCAUUGCCUUGACCAUACGGAUCGAUGGGCGUCUACGGGAAUGUAGGAGGGAGAGGAGGUCUGUUCCCAGUCACACUCGCUCGUCCAAGGAUCCCACCUCGCCUCCGAGGAAUCCCGGAAGUCCCCAGCAUCUACAUUACCGAGAUAAUCCGAGGUUCCCCAAGUUCCCCCGACUCGCCUCCUCCGGAGCCUAUGGAACUUGGCAGAGCUAGAUUGCCUCCUGUCGAACGUUUAUGCUGACUGGACAACAAGAGCUGUCUGUAUUGUGGAACUACAGGUCAUUACAUUUCUACCUGUCCAUUAAAAGACCAGGCUCAUCAGUAGGUACAAGUACGCUGGUGGGCAAUGGGGAGAUUUCCAAUUUCCCAUUACGCGUACCCCUCUCCAUGCCAUCCAGCUGUGGGGUGACAGGUCAAAAUCUCUCCGGGUACUCAUUGACUCUGGGGCUGACAAGAGUUUUAUGGACACUACCUGGUGUCAGAGAUGGGAAUACCAACUCAACCCCUCUUCAUUCUCAUGGACGUCAGAGCGCUGGAUGGGCGCUCUAUUGGCAGUGUCACCCACAAUACGGUUCCUAUCAACAUGCGAGUGUCAGGGAACCACUGUGAGUCUAUGCAGUUUUUGUUCAUCGAAUCUCCUCAGGUACCCGUGGUUUUGAGGUUUUCAUGGUGGAAAGGUACAUCUGCCUCCCCCGCCGUGUAUCCACUACUGUGGCCUUAACUGGAUGUUUGUCCCAGACUCUUCUUGGUUCCCCGGUCCUGGAAUGGGCUCAUUCCUCUUGACUUGCCUAUCAUCCUGGCUUCCGUCAGACCCUGGCCCUUGUACAACAACAUUGUUGGGGGCCCACCAUGGUUUCUGAUGUUUCCGCAUUCAUCGCCGCCUGCACUGUGUGUGCUCAGAAUAAGACUUCGCAGCAAGCUACGGCUGGCCUCCUUCAACCACUCCCUGUUCCUCACCGUCCCUGGUCCCAUAUAUCACCCUCCCAUAUAUCACCCUCAAACAGUUGGCAAGACCACUAUCCCUAUGGUGGUGGAUAGGUUUUCCAAAGCCGCCAAUUUCAUUCCCCUUCCCAAGUUGCCCUUAGCCAAGGAGAUUCUUAGCCCCUUUGCUGUUCUUCUGUUGCCACACACCCUUCGUAUACAUUCCACUUUUCAUGUGUCUAGGAUUAAACCUAUGUCUCACAGGCCUUUGUCUCCCACCCCUCUCCCGCGUCUCAUCGGUGGCCAUCCGGUGGACACGGUGUGGCGCCUCCUGAGUGUUCGACCUCAGGGCAGGGGAUUCCAGUACCUGGUUGACUGGGAGGGUUAUGGCCCAGAAAAAAGGUGCUGGGUCCCCACUAGGAACAUCCUGGACCCAACCCUCAUCGCUGAGUCCAGCUGCCCGGCACCUCUGUCAACCAGUCUUCCCGGUUCUGACCAUUCUGCCUACCCUGAGUCUGCCUACCGUUCUGCCCGUGAUUGACGCUGCCUUGGAUUACUGACCUCUGCCUGCCCUUGACCUGCCGUUUGCCUGCCCCUUGUUUUGUAAUAAACAUCUGAGAUUCGAACUGUCUGCCUCCUGUGUCUGCAUUUUGGUCUUAUCAUGAGUCGUGUUACAUGUAUGGAACAGGACAAAUAUA
rnacentral:lncRNA from 1 species